GAUGAACGCUGGCGGCGUGCCUAAUACAUGCAAGUCGAGCGAACAGACGAGGAGCUUGCUCCUCUGACGUUAGCGGCGGACGGGCGAGUAACACGUGGAUAACCUACCUAUAAGACUGGGAUAACUUCGGGAAACCGGAGCUAAUACCGGAUAAUAUAUUGAACCGCAUGGUUCAAUAGUGAAAGACGGUUUUGCUGUCACUUAUAGAUGGAUCCGCGCCGCAUUAGCUAGUUGGUAAGGUAACGGCUUACCAAGGCAACGAUGCGUAGCCGACCUGAGAGAGUGAUCGGCCACACUGGAACUGAGACACGGUCCAGACUCCUACGGGAGGCAGCAGUAGGGAAUCUUCCGCAGUGGGCGAAAGCCUGACGGAGCGACGCCGCGUGAGUGAUGAAGGUCUUCGGAUCGUAAAACUCUGUUAUUAGGGAAGAACAAAUGUGUAAGUAACUAUGCACGUCUUGACGGUACCUAAUCAGAAAGCCACGGCUAACUACGUG
rnacentral:rRNA from 1 species